rnacentral:rRNA from 1 species
AUUGAACGCUGGCGGCAUGCCUUACACAUGCAAGUCGAACGGUAACAGGGAGCUUGCUCCGCUGACGAGUGGCGAACGGGUGAGUAAUGUAUCGGAACGUACCAUUCAGUGGGGGAUAACGUAGCGAAAGUUACGCUAAUACCGCAUAUUCUGUGAGCAGGAAAGCAGGGGAUCGCAAGACCUUGCGCUGAUUGAGCGGCCGAUAUCAGAUUAGCUAGUUGGUGAGGUAAAGGCUCACCAAGGCGACGAUCUGUAGCGGGUCUGAGAGGAUGAUCCGCCACACUGGAACUGAGACACGGUCCAGACUCCUACGGGAGGCAGCAGUGGGGAAUCUUAGACAAUGGGCGCAAGCCUGAUCUAGCCAUGCCGCGUGAGCGAUGAAGGCCUUCGGGUGUAAAACCCUUUCGUGCGGAAAGAAUAGUCCUGUAGCGAAUAACUACGGGAUUUGACGGUACGCAGGAGAAGCACCGGCUAACUCCG